ACCAGUACCGUGAGGGAAAGGCGAAAAGAACCCCGGGAGGGGAGUGAAAUAGAUCCUGAAACCGUGUGCUUACAAAAAGUAGGAGCCUCGUAAGGGGUGACUGCGUACCUUUUGUAUAAUGGGUCAGCGACUUAUAUUCUGUAGCAAGGUUAACCGUUUAGGGGAGCCGUAGGGAAACCGAGUCUUAAUAGGGCGAUUAGUUGCAGGGUAUAGACCCGAAACCGAGUGAUCUAUCCAUGAGCAGGUUGAAAGUGCCGUAACAGGCACCGGAGGACCGAACCCACUGUCGUUGAAAAGCCAGGGGAUGACUUGUGGAUAGGGGUGAAAGGCUAAUCAAACUCGGUGAUAGCUGGUUCUCCCCGAAAGCUAUUUAGGUAGCGCCUCGGACGAACACCAUUGGGGGUAGAGCACUGUUUCGGCUAGGGGGUCAUACCGACUUACCAAACCGAUGCAAACUCCGAAUACCGAUGAGUGAUAUCCGGGAGACACACAGUGGGUGCUAACGUCCAUUGUGGAGAGGGAAACAACCCAGACCGCCAGCUAAGGCCCCAAAUUCCUAGUUAAGUGGGAAACGAGGUGGGAAGGCAUAGACAGCUAGGAGGUUGGCUUAGAAGCAGCCAUCCUUUAAAGAAAGCGUAAUAGCUCACUGGUCGAGUCGGUCUGCGCGGAAGAUGUAACGGGGCUAAGCGAUGUACCGAAGCUGCGGGUGCAUAGCAAUAUGCGCGGUAGAGGAGCGUUCCGUAAGCCUGCGAAGGUGACUCGUAAGGGUUGCUGGAGGUAUCGGAAGUGCGAAUGCUGACAUGAGUAGCGAUAAUGCGGGUGAAAAGCCCGCACGCCGUAAGCCCAAGGUUUCCUGUUCAACGUUCAUCGGAGCAGGGUGAGUCGGCCCCUAAGGCGAGGCAGAGAUGCGUAGCUGAUGGGAAGCAGGUUAAUAUUCCUGCACCGUCGUAUGAUGCGAUGGGGGGACGGAUCGCGGAAGGUUGUCUGACUGUUGGAAUAGUCAGUUUCUGGUUCAUAGAAGGCGCUUAGGCAAAUCCGGGCGCGUAAUUCAAGG
rnacentral:rRNA from 1 species